AUGUUUUCACACAGAAAUGGAGUAUGGGGUUUGAUAACACUGAACCCAGCUUUCAAGAAUGCCACUGAUCAGUUGGAGGUGUUGAUCUUCCCGGGCAUUCGGGUUCUCUGGACAAAGAUGGAUCUAGAGAAGGUGUUGUUGAAGGAGAGAUUAUCGAUAAUAGUAAGAAGAACGAGGGAUGCUUUUUUAUCAAGUUUUUGUGCCUUUAAUGUCGUUGAAACUUUGUAA
rnacentral:lncRNA from 1 species